ensembl:lncRNA
GCACGAGGCGGCACGAGGCGGCCGCCGGCCCGGGAGGCGCCGCGCUGCCGCCCGCGUGUGGCCGCGGCACGAAGCGGGGCUCACCCCGCCGGCCCGGGGCCGCCGGCAGAGGGCAGGAGCAGCAGAAAUUAGUGGAAAAGCAGUCCUCAGCUGUACAAUUUUGCAGCCGUGUUAUGCACCUGGGAAAACUACCCUUCAUAUUAGAAUAUCUGUCACAUGCAGCUUGAAAGGUAAUCUGUUACUUGAAAACUUCAGCUGAAAUUUAUACUUCUGUCUACCCCUCUUUCAUCAUUACUGCCUGCCCAUGUAAUGUCCCCUCAAGAUUUGUUGGUAUUGCAUGAUGCUGCUUGAUGAUCAUUUAUGAUCUACAGCCCAGAUUCUGUUUUCCCUAAAAUCACUAAGUUGUUAAGCGUGGAAUAUAUUAAAUCUUUCAUAAAAUUUGAAAUUAAAAAAGACCACCACCAUCACAACAAAAAAUUUUCCAAUACUAGAAGUAUUCUCCUAGUAAAUAUAUUGUAUAUAACUCCUAAUUUUCUGUAUACCAAUUGUAUACAUACAUAUACCAGUACAAUAAGUACAACAGUUCCAAUUGUACUAAUUAAAUGUCAAAAGUUUGCUAUUUAGAGAGCUCCUUGAAGAUUUUUUUUUAUUAUUCAAUAUCAUCACGUUAUUAUAAAAUAUCAGACAAAGCUAAGAAGAUACUUAGGCUAUUUUACACUUGUACUGUUGCAUUUGUUUUCAGUUUCCCUUCCCACAGUGUGCAACUUUGUUGUGCUUUCAAAUUUUUUUUAUUCCAUAUUAGAAAAAUACUAUUAACGCUUACCUUCCUUACAUGCUUUAAUGAAAGUUUCUCCCACAAUUAACUAUUAUCGGGUACAAUUUACAAAUACUCUAGGCAUCAAAGUUGAUAAUACAUUACUAGUAUAUUGCUCAGCUCUAAAACUAAUGUUGAAUUAUAUGCUGCUUCCAGGAUUGUUUACCUAUGUCUUAAAGACACAGGUGAUAAUCCUGCAUUGUGCCUGCUGCUUUUAGUAUAGCACACACACUUGGUUGCAUGUUUAGACUUAGCAAAACUAAUAAAUAUGAAAAGUCUGUAACCAUAGUGUUUCCUUCUAGUGCCUUUGAAUGAAGUCUCCUUGUUGUCUUAACUGCUUUGCUUGAAUGAAGCUAUGCAUUUCAUACAAUUCAUUUUAAAAUGCUUGCACUUCUUUCUGUCUUCAAGUUCCUCUUCUUUUAUGAAGUAUUUUGUCCACUAAAGUAUUCUGUCCACAUGUGGAGAUUUAGAAAGGACUUACUUCUGAACUCAGUAUUAUUAUGUGCCAAUUUUGAAGUAUCAGUGAUAAACUAAAGAUCUUUGUUGCUCUUCAGUUAAAACAUGCCGGAUGUUAUAAUGAGGCGAAUAGUUCAGCUGUUCAUACCACAUGCUAUUUCCUAUUGCGUGACUAUUGAAAAAGUGAAGCCAACUCAUAAAAAUUGUAUUUGGCUUGAAAAUUCAGUUCAAUUCACAUUAAUGAUAAACUUUUAACUGACAAAAUUAUAUAGGAAUGGGUAAACUGUGUCAACAGUUAAACAGGGAAAAGACAUUUAGAAAAUAGAGGAAAUGGGACACCAUCAAAGUAAAGAUUUUUCAACUAAAUUAUAAAGUAAAAAGAAUGCUCACCCUCCACUCUUAAUAAUCUUGUUUGGAAUCUCUAAAUAAUUGGAGUUACAGUUUAGAUGGGAAGGAAAAAAAAGAUAUUUAAUGAUUUUAAUAUACAUGGGUAAGAAAAGAAAUCUUUGAAAGAUAAAUAUUUAAUGUAAAGGCUUGUUGAGUGGUAAUAUUAGAAUCAGAUGAGAUACUUGAUCAUAUUCUCAGAUACUACAUUACAGACUUUCUACUUCUAAGGAAAUCAAUUGUAAAUAUUUUUCUUAAAAAGCUGAAAACAGGUCUUUUUCCAUGCUCAAGUGAAUCCUAAUGACAUUACAAGUUUCUGGAGAAUCCUGCUUGUACACAGAACGUGCACAGUGGUUGGGUUCAAGUGAGUGUUACUGUCGCUGUAGUGAUGAUUUGCUAUGGGUGAAGACAUCUGCCAUUCUUUAAAAUUGCUGUUAGCCUGUUGGUUCUGUGGCCUGCUUAGGUUCUACCUGAACGGCACAUGGGAAUCUGUGAGUGCAUAUGGUUGUUUGUGGUGCUGCUCAGCAAAGCUCUUAACAGAACUUUUCAGCCUUGCUCUGCUCUGGUUCUGGAUUAACAAGAAACGCAUGAUUGCAAAAUGGUUUUUGCAUCUAAACUUAAAAGUAUUCUGGCAUUGGGAAUACAAUUAUUUCUUUCAUGUCAUUCUCUGUGCCACCUGUAUGGUUGCCUACAUGGCAGUGAAUACAUAAAGUUUCUCUGAAAGAGUGUGAUUGGAGGGUGUUAUUGUUUAUUCUUGUCUGGAUUAGAUUCUAUCAUGACUUGAGGGGAGUGUAUGUUAGGAUUUGUGCUGUAUAGUAAGUGCUAGUUCAAAGCAAAAUUUGUGUUUUUAGUGUUGCUUCUCAUCAUAUACGUUUAC